rnacentral:lncRNA from 1 species
UGAAAUGAUUUAAAGUUUUGUAGGUAACACACAUUCAUCACUGAAACUUUUCACACAAAAAGGUGAAUUAAAUGGUUUCUUUUUGUAUAUCAGGAGAGCUAGACGUGGAUGAAUGCUUUAACAGUUCAUCAAUCUGUGGCCCAAACUCAGUCUGCAACAACACCAUUGGAGACUACAACUGCACAUGCUGGAGAGGAUACCAAGUUACAAACACUAGUCAAAAAAUAAGUGAAAGCAAUCCUUGUACAGAUAUAAACGAAUGUGUUGAGAUAUCAAACGUGUGUGGAUUCAACUCCAACUGCACCAAUUACAAUGGAAGCUACAACUGUUCCUGCCUGAGUGGAUAUCAAGUGACCAGAGCAAACCAAUCCAUAAGUCUUAGCAAUCAGUGCACAGGUAAAUGA